GAACUUCGGUUUGGGUGGCGGACGGGUGAGUAACGCGUAAAGAACUUGCCUCACAGCUAGGGACAACAUUUGGAAACGAAUGCUAAUACCUGAUAUUAUGAUUUUAGGGCAUCCUAGGAUUAUGAAAGCUAUAUGCGCUGUGAGAGAGCUUUGCGUCCCAUUAGCUAGUUGGAGAGGUAACGGCUCACCAAGGCGAUGAUGGGUAGCCGGCCUGAGAGGGUGAUCGGCCACAAGGGGACUGAGACACGGCCCUUACUCCUACGGGAGGCAGCAGUGGGGAAUAUUGGACAAUGGACCAAGAGUCUGAUCCAGCAAUUCUGUGUGCACGAUGAAGUUUUUCGGAAUGUAAAGUGCUUUCAGUUGGGAAGAAAAAAAUGACGGUACCAACAGAAGAAGUGACGGCUAAAUACGUGCCAGCAGCCGCGGUAAUACGUAUGUCACAAGCGUUAUCCGGAUUUAUUGGGCGUAAAGCGCGUCUAGGUGGUUAUGUAAGUCUGAUGUGAAAAUGCAGGGCUCAACUCUGUAUUGCGUUGGAAACUGUGUAACUAGAGUACUGGAGAGGUAAGCGGAACUACAAGUGUAGAGGUGAAAUUCGUAGAUAUUUGUAGGAAUGCCGAUGGGGAAGCCAGCUUACUGGACAGAUACUGACGCUGAAGCGCGAAAGCGUGGGUAGCAAACAGGAUUAGAUACCCUGGUAGUCCACGCCGUAAACGAUGAUUACUAGGUGUUGGGGGUCGAACCUCAGCGCCCAAGCAAACGCGAUAAGUAAUCCGCCUGGGGAGUACGUACGCAAGUAUGAAACUCAAAGGAAUUGACGG
rnacentral:rRNA from 1 species